AAAAAAAGAAACAGCAAUAGAGUGAUAAUUUUUUGAGAGAGAUGACGGAAAUCACAAACCGGAGAUCGCUGCGGUUCCUUGUCUUCUUCUCCUCGAUUUGUCUGCAAUUGAUUUCAGGCUUGGCCAAAGACCCAUCAAACUCUGAUAAUGGGAUAAAAACUGAGACCCGUGCUGCUUCCAAUCAGGGUACUGGGCUUAGGGUAUUUAUAAUAUGCCUUGGCGUGAUUGCUCUUGUGGCAUUUUCUGUAUUUCUAUUCAAGCAUUGGCAAAAGAAGAAAAGAGAAGAGCAGCAUGCUCGCCUUUUAAGGCUGUUCGAAGAAGAUGAUGAGCUAGAGCUUGAGCUUGGUCUUCGGGAUUGAGACCUGUUCUAUUUUGGGUGUAAUUUAGCUGAGGUUUAUUGGCCAUUGGUUGUUUGGAUGCUAGUACAAAUGAUGUUUAGAGUUUGGAGAUUUACGAUUCUUAAAAGCUCCUAUAAGGAUAGGUGUUCUCCUCUUUUAAAUUUUGUAGCCUUUUGUAAUGAUAAAUGUUAGAAGUGAAAACAUUUCAAGGAAUGGAAUUGGAACUUUGCUAAACAAAGGGUCACCUUGUACAAAACGUUUUGGAGGAUCAACUCCCUUGUAGCUUAAAUUGCUUUGUUUGCAUAAAACCUGUGUAAUUGAUAAAUCAUCCAAGUUGAUUGUUCCAUGGGCCAAAUUGGUUGAAAA